rnacentral:rRNA from 1 species
UACGAAGGGGGCUAGCGUUGCUCGGAAUUACUGGGCGUAAAGGGCGCGUAGGCGGCUCGGCAAGUUGGAUGUGAAAGCCCAGGGCUCAACCCUGGAAUUGCAUUCAAGACUGCCUUGCUUGAAUUCGGUAGAGGUUGGUGGAAUUCCCAGUGUAGAGGUGAAAUUCGUAGAGAUUGGGAAGAACACCGGUGGCGAAGGCGGCCAACUGGACCGACAUUGACGCUGAGGCGCGAAAGCGUGGGGAUCAAACAGG